rnacentral:pre_miRNA from 14 species
CUUUUGGAGAUUCUGAUUGCCUUCCUUCCCUCCCCUUUUGAAAGAUCCCCGGAGCAGGGAGAGCCUCACUCAAGUCUCGAGAUGACGAGAACCCACAAGAAUUCACAUAAGACC